CAAACCUAAAUACCUAUCCAUAUAUAUCUCGAUCUGAUGAUGAUGACUCAAGCGAUGAACCAGUAAAAAUUAUUUCUACUGUUCAUCUCUACUCUGGCCAGAGACUCUCAGAGUCAUAUCCUAUGAGAUCACAUAGGAUGUUCUCUCCUCCUACAAGGAGUGAUUGAUUCUUUAUUCACCACUCACAAUCUCCAUGCAUACUUCGUCAUAUCCAGAAUAUCCCAC
rnacentral:lncRNA from 1 species